AUGGGUGGCCUCGUUGUGGUCGCGUCACCUGUCGCCGCGGUCUUCCCCGACCCGGUCAGCCUCCGAUACGACACCCACAGCACCGAGCUCAUCCUCGCCCUCAACAAACUCACAGUCAACAUCUUAGUGCCUACAGUUGAUCCCUCAGCGGUGGCGGUUCUCACCUCCGUGUGGAUUCAGAUCCGCGGCCUCCCGCCCAUCGCCAGGAAGGAGCGCGUCAUCCACAACAUGUCCCGUCUCCUCGGCAAGGUCAUGGAGGUUGACGCGGCCUCUCUUAUUCGUGGGCCUGUUGUGCGUGCCAGAGUCAAGACCCCCGACCCAACCAAGCUCCAAACGACACUCCGCAUCUUCUUCAACGACAUUGGGUAUGACCUUCACAUCUCGUUCGAGGAGGCCCCUUCUGCUGCUCCUUUGGGCCCUACGGAUGGUGGUGGCUCUGACCCCGGUCGUGACAGUGGUGGUGGCGACAAUGCUGACCGCCAUCACCGUUGCAGCCGUAGCAGCUCCCCCAGUUCCGAGGACGAGGUUAAGGACUCGCCGACUCACGAUGGACCUCCCGCCCGUCCCGCGGCUGGUCGGUUUCUGGGGCCGGUCGGGUCUGGACCUGUCGCCCAGACUGAGCCCCUUGAGGAGGGAGAGGACUUGGAGGCCAUUGCGGCUAUGCUCGAGGCGGAGUUGACCAUCCCUUUGGGCUCCUCUCUUGCACUACUCCUAUCCUCCCCGGUGCUGUCCUCUGGUGAUGAGGGCGGGAGUGAUGCGAGCUCCGUGAGGCUGGCUGUCUACCCACCGUCCUCUCCCUAG
rnacentral:rRNA from 1 species